GAGUUUGAUCCUGGCUCAGGAUUAACGCUGGCGGCGUGCCUGACACAUGCAAGUCGAACGAGCGAAGGGACUUCGGUCCCCGAGCGAGUGGCGGACGGGUGAGUAACACGUGAGGAACCCACCCUCAAGUGGGGAAUAACUCGCAGAAAUGCGAGCUAAUACCGCAUGUGGUUGGACGUGGACAUCCACGACCAACUAAAGAUUUAUCGCUUGAGGACGGCCUCGCGGCCUAUUAGCUUGUUGGUGGGGUAACGGCCUACCAAGGCGAUGACGGGUAGCUGGCCUGAGAGGACGACCAGCCACACUGGGACUGAGACACGGCCCAGACUCCUACGGGAGGCAGCAGUGAGGAAUUUUCCGCAAUGGGCGCAAGCCUGACGGAGCAACGCCGCGUGUGUGAUG
rnacentral:rRNA from 1 species